rnacentral:rRNA from 1 species
AUGCUUGAUCUCAAUGAGUUGCCUCCAGAUCUCAAUGAGCUUCCUCGUGAUAUGGAUCAGCAGCAACCUAGCAUACAACAAGGAAAUUGGAUAGAAAAUGGUCGAUCUGUUUACUACACGCAGGCAAGUCGUGAUGGUAACCCUAUGGGCCAUGACAAUGUGGCAGGCCAGUCAUCAGCCCAUGGUGCCCCUGUAGUGGUGUCUUUGCAGUCAGAGAGCCAUACUCUUGAUGACACAGGAACCGAGGCAAAUGUUCCUGGUCCAACCAGGACUGAGCUAGAAGUUGGGGCUGUUGACAGAGCUGUGCAAGUAGAAGAAGGAGAGGAUGAGGCUGGUUCUCAACCUAUGGAACCCUAUGUUGGCAUGAGGUUUGACAGCCUUCAAAUUGCUAAGGAUCACUACAACAACUACGCACUACGGAUGGGUUUCUCUAUCAAGAUGAACACCUCUAGACGGACAGCCCGCACCAAUGAAUUGAUAAAACAACAGUUUUGCUGCAACAAGUUCAAGAAGCCCAAAGCUGAUGAUGGAGGAGCUGAGGCUCCUCCUGUCCUGGACCCUAUUCUAGAUCCAAAAUCUGUUAAUAGUGAUGAGGAGAUGGAAGAAGAACCUCCAAUAUUUGCUGAAGAGGAGGCUGGUACUAGUAAGAAGAAGAAGAAGCGCAAACGCAAGACAAUAAAGCAGACUGAAUGCAAGGCGAAAAUGUUGGUGAAGCUGACAGAUGGGCGAUGGGAGGUGACGCACUUUGUUCGUGACCACAAUCAUCCGCUUGUGAACAAACUGUCAUUGUCCAAAUACUUGAGAUCCCACCAAGGCAUCUCACCUGAUGAAAAGGAGUUUCUGCGCAUCUUGUAUAACUGCAACUUGACUAUAGGAUGA